rnacentral:rRNA from 1 species
GAUGAACGCUGGCGGCGUGCCUAAUACAUGCAAGUCGAGCGAACAGACGAGGAGCUUGCUCCUCUGACGUUAGCGGCGGACGGGUGAGUAACACGUGGAUAACCUACCUAUAAGACUGGGAUAACUUCGGGAAACCGGAGCUAAUACCGGAUAAUAUAUUCAACCGCAUGGUUCAAUAGUGAAAGACGGUUUUGCUGUCACUUAUAGAUGGAUCCGCGCCGCAUUAGCUAGUUGGUAAGGUAACGGCUUACCAAGGCAACGAUGCGUAGCCGACCUGAGAGGGUGAUAGGCCACACUGGAACUGAGACACGGUCCAGACUCCUACGGGAGGCAGCAGUAGGGAAUGUUCCGCAAAGGGCGAAAGCCUGACGGAGCAACGCCGCGUGAGUGAUGAAGGUCUUCGGAUCGUAAAACUCUGUUAUUAGGGAAGAACAAAUGUGUAAGUAACUAUGCACGUCUUGACGGUACCUAAUCAGAAAGCCACGGCUAACUACGUG